rnacentral:rRNA from 1 species
GACGAACGCUGGCGGCGUGCUUAACGCAUGCAAGUCGAACGGGAUUUAGUAAACGGAAGCCUCGGUGGAAGAUUACUAAUGAGAGUGGCGAACGGGUGAGUAACGCGUGAGCAACCUGCCUAUGACAGUGGGAUAGCCUCGGGAAACCGGGAUUAAUACCGCAUAAAAUCGUAGAAACACAUGUUUCAACGGUCAAAGAUUUAUCGGUCAUAGAUGGGCUCGCGUCUGAUUAGCUAGUUGGGGAGAUAACAGCCCACCAAGGCGACGAUCAGUAGCCGGUCGGAGGGCCGGCCCGCCCACAGUGGCAUGGAGCCCCGACCAAAUCCCCCCCGGGGGCCGCCGGGGGGGAAUAUCGCAAAAGGGGGAAACCCCUAAUGCGCCGCCGCGGCGUGACGAAAGAAGUUAUUCGAAUCAUAAUUUUCUGUCCAAUGGGAAGAUAAUGACAUGACCAAAGAAGAAAGCCCCGCCAAAUUCCGCC